rnacentral:rRNA from 1 species
UACGAGAGGCCCAAACGUUAUUCGGAUUUACUGGGCUUAAAGAGUUCGUAGGCGGUCCGUCAAGUGAGGUGUGAAAGCCCUCGGCUCAACCGAGGAAUUGCGCUUCAAACUGUCGGGCUCGAGGGAGAUAGAGGUGAGCGGAACUGAUGGUGGAGCGGUGAAAUGCGUUGAUAUCAUCAGGAACACCAGAGGCGAAGGCGGCUCACUGGCCCGAUACUGACGCUGAGGUGCGAAAGCGUGGGGAGCAAACAGG